UGGACACGGGUGGUCACGGGUGGACACAGGAGGUCACGGGUGGUCACGGGUGGUCACGGGUGGUCAUGGAUGGACACAAGAGGUCCCAGGAGGACACAGGUGGUCAUGGGUGGUUCCAGAGGGUCAUGGGUGGUCCUGGUUGGUCACACGUGGUCAUGGAAGGAGACGGGAGGUCCCAGGUGGUCGUGGGUGGGCAUAGGAGGACAUGGGUGGACAUGGGUGCUCGUGGACGGACACAGGGGCUCAUGGGUGGUCCUGGUUGGUCAC